CCCUACGGGGGGCAGCAGUGGGGAAUAUUGCACAAUGGGGGAAACCCUGAUGCAGCGACGCCGCGUGAGUGAAGAAGUAUUUCGGUACGUAAAGCUCUAUCAGCAGGGAAGAAAAUGACGGUACCUGACUAAGAAGCCCCGGCUAACUACGUGCCAGCAGCCGCGGUAAUACGUAGGGGGCAAGCGUUAUCCGGAUUUACUGGGUGUAAAGGGAGCGCAGGCGGCUUGGCAAGUCUGAUGUGAAAGGCUGGGGCUCAACCCCAGGACUGCAUUGGAAACUGUUAGGCUGGAGUGUCGGAGAGGUA
rnacentral:rRNA from 1 species